rnacentral:ribozyme from 14 species
AUUGAUAAUGUUUAUUAUUAUUCAUAUAUAAUAGAAAGAAAGAAAAAUAGAGAGAGAGUGCAUACACACACGUACGUGAUCGUUGUGUUAUUUGUCCAGAUCGAUUUCGAUUUCGAUUCCGAUUGAGAUGUGACGAGAGGAAAAUAAUAAGACACGACACGUGUCUCCACUAUUGUGGAUGCCAUAUAUGUCGGAACGUAAGAAGUGCAGUGCGG